ensembl:snoRNA
AUCCUUUUGUGGAUCAUAAUCAUGAUGAUUGAGUUUUCACAGUAAUAUAUGAGAUGUGCUUCCUUCAAACCUUGUGAUGAUAUCGGCACAUUAUCCAUCUUACA